rnacentral:rRNA from 1 species
AUUGAACGCUGGCGGAAUGCUUUACACAUGCAAGUCGAACGGCAGCACGGGGGCAGCCCUGGUGGCGAGUGGCGAACGGGUGAGUAAUACAUCGGAACGUGCCCGGUCGUGGGGGAUAACGUAGCGAAAGUUACGCUAAUACCGCAUACGAUCUGAGGAUGAAAGCGGGGGACCUUCGGGCCUCGCGCGAUCGGAGCGGCCGAUGUCAGAUUAGGUAGUUGGUGGGGUAAAGGCCUACCAAGCCGACGAUCUGUAGCUGGUCUGAGAGGACGACCAGCCACACUGGGACUGAGACACGGCCCAGACUCCUACGGGAGGCAGCAGUGGGGAAUUUUGGACAAUGGGCGCAAGCCUGAUCCAGCCAUUCCGCGUGCAGGACGAAGGCCUUCGGGUCGUAAACUGCUUUUGUACGGAACGAAAAGGUUCUGGCUAAUACCUGGGGCUCAUGACGGUACCGUAAGAAUAAGCACCGGCUAACUACGUG